rnacentral:pre_miRNA from 16 species
UACUAACGCAGCCCUUUCUGUGUGAUUGACAGGUCAGGAUUGAGUGUUAUGCUGUGAACUUGCUGUCAGUAUUGCACUUAUCCUGGCCUGUCAAUUAUGGCAGCUUCUCACCAGGGUGCAG